GACGAACGCUGGCGGCGUGCUUAAAAACAUGCAAGUCGAACGGACUUCUCAUGAAGCUUGCGAUUGAGAAGUUAGUGGCGGACGGGUGAGUAACGCGUGGGCAACCUGCCCCUGAGCCCGGGAUAACAGUUCGAAAGGACUGCUAAGACCGGAUAUACUUGCGGGGAAGCAUUUCACUGCAAGGAAAGGGAACGCUCAGGGAUGGGCCCGCGUCCCAUUAGCUAGUUGGUGAGGUAACGGCCCACCAAGGCGACGAUGGGUAGCCGGCCUGAGAGGGUGAACGGCCACACUGGGACUGAGACACGGCCCAGACUCCUACGGGAGGCAGCAGUUGGGAAUCUUCGGCAAUGGGCGCAAGCCUGACCGAGCAACGCCGCGUGAGUGAUGUAAGGUUUUCGGAUUGUAAAGCUCUGUCUUCCGGGACGAUAAUGACGGUACCGGAGGAGGAAGCCACGGCUAACUACGUG
rnacentral:rRNA from 1 species